rnacentral:rRNA from 1 species
GACGAACGCUGGCGGCGUGCUUAACACAUGCAAGUCGAACGGUGAAGCGAGUGCUUUCAUUCGUGGAUCAGUGGCGAACGGGUGAGUAACACGUGAGUAACCUGCCCAUCACUCUGGGAUAAGCACUGGAAACGGUGUCUAAUACUGGAUACGACCAACCCCUGCAUGGGGGGGUGGGGGAAAGAUUUAUCGGUGAUGGAUGGACUCGCGGCCUAUCAGCUUGUUGGCGGGGUAAUGGCCCACCAAGGCGACGACGGGUAGCCGGCCUGAGAGGGUGACCGGCCACACUGGGACUGAGACACGGCCCAGACUCCUACGGGAGGCAGCAGUGGGGAAUAUUGCACAAUGGGCGGAAGCCUGAUGCAGCGACGCCGCGUGAGGGAUGACGGCCUUCGGGUUGUAAACCUCUUUCAGCAGGGACGAAGCGAGAGUGACGGUAACUGCAGAAGAAGCACCGGCUAACUACGUG